ACGCCGCGCCCCGGGCCCCUUAUGCCGGAGUGGGAUGGGGGAGGCCACGCGUGCCCUUCCACCUGCCCCAGCUACUUACGACUGACCACGCCGCGUUCCCGGGUGUGGCGACUCCACCAUUGGCACCCUCGACCCCGGAGCGGAAGUCUGACAUCAGAGAUUAAGCUGGCUGUGCCCUGGGGACACAUCGCUGCCAAACUCUGGGGCUCCCAGCAGGGCCCCCCGGUUCUUUGCCUGCACGGCUGGCUGGACAAUGCCAACUCCUUUGACAGACUCAUCCCUCUUCUCCCAAAAGACUUUCAUUACGUUGCCAUGGAUUUGGGGGGACAUGGGCUCUCAUCGCAUUACAGCCCAGGUCUCCCGUAUUACCAGCAAAACUUUGUGAUUGAGGUCCAGAGAGUUGUAGCAGCUUUGAAAUGGAAUCGUUUUUCCAUCAUGGGCCACAGUUUUGGUGGUAUGGUGGGCGGAAUGUAUUCCUGUACCUUCCCCGAGAUGGUGGAUAAACUUAUCUUGCUGGACACGUUGCCAUUUGCGCUGGACUAUAAAGAGCUGGCCCCUUUGUCUGCAGCCCGGAGUCCUGCCCACCCAGCAGAACCUGCAACCCCCCAGGAAUCGGAGAACUUGCUGACCUAUAAGCGGAGAAUGAUAGAGCACGUGCUACGGAUAGAGGCCUCCCAGAAGCCCCAGCGAGUGCUCAGCCCGGCGGAGAUGCUGCAGGGGUUCCUGAAGAACAACAGUCACGUGGGUGAGGAAUGUGCACAGCUCCUCCUGCAGAGAGGAACCACCCAGGUGGCCACAGGUCUGGUGCUGAGCAGAGACCGGAGGAUCUCUUUGCCAGAGCACAGCAUCGAUUUCAUCAGCAGGGACCUGCUUGUGCAUUUCAUGAGGAAGCUGCAGGCCCACGUCCUGCUCAUCAAGGGUCUGUGAGGCAGGGGCCAGCAGGCCUGACAGUGGGACGCUCGCUCUACCAAAUUCUCCAGCCACACCAGACCCCUUACGGCCCCAGAUCCGGGCUGCUCACCUGCCUUCCUCCCCACUCCCGGCUGGAAGCAGUCCCACAGUGAACGUCCUCCCGUGUGGCUUGGAUGCCGCUUUCUGCUCUGCUGCGGCCAGCCUAGACUGUGGCAAGCCCGAGGCAGGAACCCCGACUUCUGGGGACACGUGUGUCUCUGGUGCGGAGCACGGGGGUUUAGGAGGCAAAGCCACACCACAGGGAAAUACGCCGCACGUCCUCACUAGGACGGCCAGACUAAAAGAUAACCGGUGUCGGCAAGGAUGUGAGACACCAGGACCCUCGUGCUGGGGGGCUGUAACACGGAGCAGCCACUUGGGAAGCAGUCUGAUGGCUCGGAGCAGUGUUGUUCACAACGGCCCAGAGGUAGAGACGUCUGUCAGCCGGCGAGCAGAUGAGCCAAAGCAAUGCAAGGGUUUUAUAACGUGAGAAGAGAGAACGACGCUGACAAGGAGGUCCUAAAUUUGGUGAAGGACAUACUGAAAUCUGUCCCAAAGGAGGUAGGU